AUCAUCCAUACUUUGCAUUUGAAAUGUUAGAAUUUGAGCUCACACGUCCUCAGUGAUGGCAGAGCAACACUUACAGUGAUCAGUACAAACAGGGAAAAGUCCAGCGAUGUAAGAGGUACAGAAGCAUUUGUCAGAUUAGGUUUGAGAGCAAGUCCUUGUGUUGAGCCUUCAGCUCAAACCAUAAAGGCUUUGAAAGUGUAUUUGGUAGAGCAGAAUGAAUUCAGUAUAUCCCGCUGCUUUUAAGAAAUAUUUGUUCAAGAAAUAGUAAUCUCUGCAUACUGUGAGAAAUUAGGGCCCAAUGGAUUCCAUACAGUAUAAACCAGAAGCACCAACCUCACCUUCAACCUGACCCUGCUUGUCUUCUGUAAAAAAAAUUGCAUCUCUCAUUAAAAAAUAUUUAAUGUGUUUUUCAGCAGAGGAUUUCUUUCAAGGGUUCAUGCUGCAGCUGUCGAAUAGCAGUGAGAAAAUGUUCCCAGGUGAGCUGGUGAAGUUUUGUUAGCAAGCCGUUGAACAAUAUAUGAAUCACAAGUAAGAAUAAAAGUGAACAGGCUCUAUCUCAGGAAAAGCCAGGACUAGAAGGCUUUACACAUUCAGUGCCACUGCUGCAAGACCAGAAGGGUUGGAGACAACAAAAGGCCCUCGAGAGGAGAGCCACCCGCUGACGGCUGUUCGCUGAGAUGCCUGCCUCAGGCGGUACCGCUACGUAUCGCUAUCCGCGUGCGGCUGUGUGACCCCGACACCGCGGGGCGCACUCGGCGGGCAGGACGAGGCCCGCACUGUGAGGAGAAGCCUGGGCGGGCGGAACCUUGG
ensembl:lncRNA